rfam:Oryza brachyantha chromosome 1, whole genome shotgun sequence.
AAUAAGAUUUUUUUUAUUUUUUCGUGUCCAACGUUUGACCAUUCGUCUUAUUUGAAAAUUUUAUAUAAAAACUUUAAAAAAAUUAGUCACAUACUAUUUAUGUUUUAUUCUCUAGUAAAAAUAAAAAUAUUAAUUAUAAAAAUUUUUCAGAUAAGACAAAUGAUUAAACAUUGGAUACGGAAAAAC